rnacentral:rRNA from 1 species
AUUGAACGCUGGCGGCAUGCUUUACACAUGCGAGUCGAACGGUAACAGGCCGCAAGGUGCUGACGAGUGGCGAACGGGUGAGUAAUGCAUCGGAACGUGCCCAGUCGUGGGGGAUAACGCAGCGAAAGCUGCGCUAAUACCGCAUACGAUCUAUGGAUGAAAGCGGGGGACCGUAAGGCCUCGCGCGAUUGGAGCGGCCGAUGUCAGAUUAGGUAGUUGGUGGGGUAAAGGCCCACCAAGCCAACGAUCUGUAGCUGGUCUGAGAGGACGACCAGCCACACUGGGACUGAGACACGGCCCAGACUCCUACGGGAGGCAGCAGUGGGGAAUUUUGGACAAUGGGCGCAAGCCUGAUCCAGCAAUGCCGCGUGCAGGAAGAAGGCCUUCGGGUUGUAAACUGCUUUUGUACGGAACGAAACGGUCUGGGUUAAUACCCCGGGCUAAUGACGGUACCGUAAGAAUAAGCACCGGCUAACUACGUGCCAGCAGCCGCAGUAA